rnacentral:lncRNA from 1 species
ACAAAUAAAUCAAUAGCAAUAAUUCAUAUACAUUGUAAAUAUAAUACAUUGUUACUUACUUCACUUGAAAUACUUUUAAUCAAACACUUAGUUUACUUGAAAUACUUUUCCAGCAAACAAUAAUGAUCAUAGCCCACGAACAGAAACAAUUACAAGCAAUUCAAUAAAGCAACAAAAGACAAACCAGACAAGGAAACAAAGAAAUUCAACUAAACAAUCAUCAUAACCAAGAAAUACAUCUAAAGUCUGAGUUUUGCCAUUAUACAAAGAACAGGAAACUCAAAUCAAAAUUACAGAAUUUGAGGCAAAUGAACACAACCCAGAUAAUAGCUAUCAUAAACACAAACUUUAAGAAAACAACCGAUACCACUCAUAAGUGCAUAAUAUAUAUUACAAAUUCCACAGGUAAAUAUAAAAAAAAUUGAAACUUGUUAAAAUAUCAGGGCAUGAACUCUGCUCAAAGAAGUUUGAGAUGGAUUUUUAUUAGGGGAAUUUCAUUAAACAGGGGCUGUGCAUGUCUACAAAAAGCAACUACAAAAAUAAAAUCUACAAUAAAAACAGUGGUUACAAGCAGCAAAUAAAUCACGCAUGACCCAUCACCCAUCAAUUUAUUCUAAACAAAAGCCCCAACAUAUUAUGAACAAAGAGGAAGAAAAUGAAAAAUUGCAUGUAAUAGAAUAAAGGAGCACUAAAAAAUGAACAACGGGUGAAGAAAAACGCACCACUGACAGAGGCGUAUGAGAGUGGCCGGUGUCGGAAUUGCAUCAAUUAGAACUGCCACAGUCGGAAUCGUGCAGAUGAGAAUGGGCGUUUAGGGUUUGUUUCACAAAAAAAAAAAAUUGAUUUGAAAUGAAGUUAAAAAAUGAGGAGGAUGAAAUUGAAAUUGAAUAAUAUGUAAGGCUAAUUUAGUAAUUUAAUUUACAGCUGAAAAAAAAAUUGUUAAAUUGCCAAAGCCUAGCUACAAGUGUUGCCCAGCUACCUCACCACACUCCCAAACAGGCUCCUCGAGUUGUCAGUCAACGCAUGACUUUGACUAAAUGAAACACAACACACAAGCACUGGUGGAGUAGAAGAUCUCAUUCGGCACGCCAUGAAGGAAAAGUUAAG